UACCCUUGACAUGUAUGGAAUCCUGCUGAGAGGUGGGAGUGCCCGAAAGGGAGCCAUAACACAGGUGCUGCAUGGCUGUCGUCAGCUCGUGUCGUGAGAUGUUGGGUUAAGUCCCGCAACGAGCGCAACCCUUGUCCCUAGUUGCUACGCAAGAGCACUCUAGGGAGACUGCCGGUGACAAACCGGAGGAAGGUGGGGAUGACGUCAAGUCCUCAUGGCCCUUAUGGGUAGGGCUUCACACGUCAUACAAUGGUCGGAACAGAGGGUUGCCAAGCCGCGAGGUGGAGCCAAUCCCAGAAAACCGAUCGUAGUCCGGAUCGCACUCUGCAACUCGAGUGCGUGAAGCUGGAAUCGCUAGUAAUCGCGGAUCANCAUGCCGCGGUGAAUACGUUCCC
rnacentral:rRNA from 1 species